CUUGUGGGAAUAGUGGCAAUCGGCCCUUCUACCGGUUGAUAAUUGUCCUUUGUCCAGGCGAAGAGGACGAAGCAACAACCGGAAGAAGAAAAUGAAUGGUGCUUUCAAACUUCAACCUUCAAUAACUUAAAUGGUAAUUUCUGUACCUAUCUAAUUUAGACGACAAGCAGUGUGCAUCACCUGAGGAAAUAUUCAAGGAGCGAGGAAGAUUAAGCAAAAAUUCACAUUUUUUGAAGGGGAAAGUGUAUGUGAUGUGAUCUGGGUUCGGUGCAAAAUCCUCCAUUAUUCGGCAAUGGUUGGAGGUUGGUUAAUAUCCAGAUUCAAGCUCAACUGGAGGCUGAAUGAAGGUGGUGAAUGCAAUUAAUUGCAUGAUCAAACUAUGGAGCUCAACAGCGUCGAAGCUUGCAAGGAAUUAAUGAUUGUAGAAGGGAGAUUUAAGGGCGAGAUCGGGACUUCAAGAGUUAAUAAAACUGGCUACUUAUGUGUUCUUGCUAGGGAGUUUAAUAUAGUGAAGAUCACAAGCCAAAGCAUGAAGUUGAUGUUGGCAGUGGCAACUGAAGCAAGCUGGAACAAUAUGGGUUCGUGCGAUACUAACAAACAGAAACAGGAACCAAAGCCAACAGCUAUGCGACCGCGUAGUAUUGUUGCCAUGCGGCUGCAUACAUCAAGCCAGAAGACCGAUUGGUGGAAUUAAACACUUCAGUGCGACCGUAGCACACUGAACCAUGUGGUCGCACCUCUAUAAAUCAGGAACGAUUUCUUCAAUUUCGGAAACUGGUACUACAAUUCCAAUCUUGCACAUCUUUUUGGCAUAUAUUUUAAUGUUAGUUUCUUUUUUAAAUUAGGUUUUUAAUUUUUUAUUCCUUUUUAAUUAUUUUAGGAUUUUAGUAUAAAUAGUUUUUCCUUCUUCAUUAUAACUUGGACUUUGACAUUGAAUUAAUGGAGAUUUUCUCAGGAGGCUUUAUGCUUCAAAAUUUAUCGAACUUAUCGGGGUGAUUUCUCGUGGUGUUCAACCUAACAAAGUGAGAUUCGUAAAUUGGGUAAUCACGGGGUCAAGUUUGCAGGAUGGAGUACAUACUCAACAUUGAUGAUCGAUGUGACACAAAGGUCACAAUACGUUCCAACGUGUCGAAUGUAGAGAAAGUAUAUGAAGUAUUAGAUAAUGUUUAUAAGGAGAUGUUCUUGAAGUCGUGUUUCGAUAAGCUGUAUGACAUCAGGAACAUGAAAAUAUCUUACUAAUUCACAACCUAUUGUAAUUGCUUUUAUAUUGUAUUUACUUUUGCAUGUUACCUCAAGUAUUGUUAAAAGAAUUUUGUGUUAUGAAUAGAAGUUUAUUUUUA